GAUGAACGCUGGCGGCGUGCCUAAUACAUGCAAGUCGAGCGAACAGACGAGGAGCUUGCUCCUCUGACGUUAGCGGCGGACGGGUGAGUAACACGUGGAUAACCUACCUAUAAGACUGGGAUAACUUCGGGACACCGGAGCUAAUACCGGAUAAUAUAUUGAACCGCAUGGUUCAAUAGUGAAAGACGGUUUUGCUGUCACUUCUAGAUGGAUCCGCGCCGCUUUAGCUAGUUGUUAAGGUAACGGCUUACCAAGGGGACGAUGCGUAGCCGACGGGAGAGGGGGAUUGGCGACAUUGGAGCGGAGACACGGACCAGACGCCUACGGGAGGCCACAGUAGGGAAUCUUACGCAGUAGGCGGAAGCCUGACAGAGCAACCCCAGGUGUGUGAUGAAAGUCUUCGGAGCGUAAUACACGAUUAUGAGGGAAAAACAGAUGUGUAAUUUGCUAAUCAGGUCUUGACGGUACCUGAUCAGGAAGCAACGGCUAACUACGUG
rnacentral:rRNA from 1 species